rnacentral:rRNA from 1 species
AACGAACGCUGGCGGCAUGCCUAACACAUGCAAGUCGAACGAGACCUUCGGGUCUAGUGGCGCACGGGUGCGUAACGCGUGGGAACCUGCCCUUAGGUUCGGAAUAACUCCCCGAAAGGGGUGCUAAUACCGGCUAAUGUCUUCGGACCAAAGAUUUAUCGCCUUUGGAUGGGCCCGCGUUGGGUUAGCUAGUUGGUAGGGUAAAAGCCUACCAAGGCGACGAUCCAUAGCUGGUCUGAGAGGAUGAUCAGCCACACUGGGACUGAGACACGGCCCAGACUCCUACGGGAGGCAGCAGUGGGGAAUAUUGGACAAUGGGCGAAAGCCUGAUCCAGCAAUGCCGCGUGAGUGAUGAAGGCCUUAGGGUUGUAAAGCUCUUUUACCCGGGAUGAUAAUGACAGUACCGGGAGAAUAAGCUCCGGCUAACUCCGUG